AGGCAUCUUCAUCAACAUCUUCAUCAGCACCAUCUCCUCUCCAAUCCCUAGUUCAUCUCUUGUAACCAAUCUUCGUCUCGCUACUCCGAUUGGUACUUGUAAGGUUGCUAGUAGUGUUGAUUACUCUUUGUAGUUGAUACUAGUUGGAUAACUUGGUGGAAGAGUUUAUGUUCAGAUCCUUGAUGCUAUUCACUACACCUCUGAUCAUGAUUAUGAUUAUGCUUUGUGAGUAGUUACUUUUGUUCCUGAGGAUAUGGGAUAAGUCAUG
rnacentral:lncRNA from 1 species